rnacentral:rRNA from 1 species
AGCGAACGCUGGCGGCAGGCCUAACACAUGCAAGUCGAACGAAGUCUUCGGACUUAGUGGCGGACGGGUGAGUAACACGUGGGAACGUGCCUUUAGGUUCGGAAUAACUCAGGGAAACUUGUGCUAAUACUGAAUGUGCCCUUCGGGGGAAAGAUUUAUCGCCUUUAGAGCGGCCCGCGUCUGAUUAGCUAGUUGGUGAGGUAAAGGCUCACCAAGGCGACGAUCAGUAGCUGGUCUGAGAGGAUGAUCAGCCACAUUGGGACUGAGACACGGCCCAAACUCCUACGGGAGGCAGCAGUGGGGAAUCUUGCGCAAUGGGCGAAAGCCUGACGCAGCCAUGCCGCGUGAAUGAUGAAGGUCUUAGGAUUGUAAAAUUCUUUCACCGGGGACGAUAAUGACGGUACCCGGAGAGGAAGCCCCGUCUAACUUCGUGCCAGCCGCCGCGGUAAACC